UCCACCGUGAGAUGGAAUCUGAAGGAAGUCCUAGGCAAACUGCUGAACUGAUAUACAAGAAGUGGCUAUCAGGUUAGAUGAGUUGGAUAAGAUUGCUAAACAAAUCACGAUACUAUUCAAAACGAACUCCAGUAAAGCCAACAGUUGCAUGGCAGGAAAGUAUUCAUU
rfam:Lactobacillus vini DSM 20605 Scaffold60, whole genome shotgun sequence.